CUUCUUUCGUUUCACUCUUGGCGUGGUGGUCAAAAGAGAGGAAAUCUAGGUCACACCGACAGUGGCUUCUUCUGCUGCUGCAAUUGUUCCUCAAGGUGAUCGAAUCGCUCAUAAAUCGGCUCCAUGCAGCAACAAUUUCCAGAUGGUAAAGCUGAUGACAUGGGUAAAUAAUACUGAAGUUGAAAGAGUAGUUGGUUUAGGUGCUGUCUUUAGUGCUCUCUUUCCAGCACAUGCAGACAAUGCUCUUCGACAUCCUGCCGCUUUUGCAAAUCCCUCAAAUUGCUGCUCAAGUUCAACCUCAAAUUUAUCAACUUCUAAUGCACUGUCUACACGCGGAGAUUCUGCCUUUACGAUGAAUUGCUGAAUCAGGUGGUGCAUCUGGCUUAUUGGUGAUCAAUGACAGUGAAGAUCUUUACAAAUUGGCGUGUUAUGAAAAUCAUACUUCCAUAAACAUUACGUUCCAAUUCAUGUUGCCAUGAUCGCGAAGUUGACAGGAGAGACUUGAAAGUAUUAAGUUAGCCGGAUGUCGGGAACCGCAGUUCUCUUUUUAUAAAGAGACUUAGCUUUAGAAGUACCAUGUCUAUAUGCUUGUAAGGUGUACCAUGUCUAUAUGCUUGUAAGGUCUCAUACAUUAGGCCAGUGACAAGUGCAAGUCGUUCAUCCACGGGGCGUAAUACUAACAUCUGUACACUUUCAACCACACAUCUCCAGAUGCUUUGUAUAUGCCACUGUUUGGUCUCUUCCGCUGCUGAGACUAAGGAUGUUUUUGAUAUCAAUGCCAGGGGUGCUGUGGUUGUCAUUGUAGCAUCAGUCUUUCUGAUGCCACUGUACUUCUUUAUGUCGGCGUGGUUCAUUUGGCUGCUGAUCGUACUAUUUUGCAUUGGUGGAACUGAGUUACUGAGCUACAUAGAUUUUUUUUAGAAUUUCCUCCGUACUUUUUUUUCCCAUCGAAACUUGACUAUAUGGGCAUCAAUUGUAAAGGUUUGCUUCAUGACCGAGGUAUUGGUGUUCCACGUAUAAGACCUUCUUACUUUGUUUACUUAAGAUAUUCAUUUUUGUAUUUAAUGUUUGGAGAGGUGCUGUUAGUAAUAAUCAGUAACUAAUAUGCACAGCAGACCAGAAGAACGAGAUAGAAACAUUUGUGCUUCUUGAUCUUUUGCUGAACACCUCAUUGUUUUUUGUAUACUUCGCCACACAGUGCAAAUAUUACAAGCAGGAAACUUUAACUAA